rnacentral:rRNA from 1 species
UACGUAGGGGGCUAACGUUGUCCGGAAUCAUUGGGCGUAAAGCGCGUGUAGGCGGUCCGGUAAGUCCGCUGUGAAAGUCGAGGGCUCAACCCUCGAAUGCCGGUGGAUACUGUCGGGCUUGAGUACGGGAGAGGCGAGUGGAAUUCCUGGUGUAGCGGUGAAAUGCGUAGAGAUCGGGAGGAACACCAGAGGCGAAGGCGGCGACCUGGACAGGUACUGACACUCAACUACGAAAGCGUGGGGAGCAAACAGG